ACGUAAGGUAGAUGGAAAGUCUUGUGAUUAGCUGCACUGAGGAUACAUUAGAGAAGAUAACAACCAGAAGUGCCCCAGCUCCCUCAUGUCCUGGAUCCUUCUCAGCAAGGGACUGUGUUAUAAUUUACAGAACGACUUAAUUGAAGAAGCUAUGGAAGUACAGUGAUCAGAAAAAUUUACAGUGGUUUCUGAUGUACAAAGGUACUGUGAGCAAGCACUAAUGCCUCAGCAGGUUGUUCCUCCAUCAUCUUGUCCAUGCUAUUUAUUUUUAGACCCUGAUGGUUUAAUCAGUGCCAUGCGGGCUGAAGGCUCCAGGCACUUGGAGCUCAUGGAGGGUUACAGCCGCAGGUUGCAAGAACCUCAUGGCAGUGACUGCCUUUCAGCCCUGUGCAAUCCGGUUUUAUUGGAAGUUAUUCAUUAAAGGCAGAUAAACCAUCCAACAUUUUAAAUCCCUCUUGGUCUGAGACAUCUCGCAUCCGCUAGUCAUGCCUCCAAAAUAAAAGAAUGAAACCCGUGCGGAAAAAAUACUUCACAUUGUUUAAUGUGAUUAAAAAUAAAAGUAAAUUUAAAACAAUGCUUUUCCUAGAAUCCUUGUUUAUCUCAGGGUAUUUUCAGUACAACACCUCCACUUUUUGCUUUAAUAUAGUAAGUGAUAAUUGCACCCUUUGGGUACAUCUUGGCUGAUGCCUAAAACACAUGUAGAACUGUUUUCAUAUUACUAUGAAAAACUGUUUGAAAUGAGAGGCUACAAGUGCUUUAAUAACAGGACUGCAAAAUGAGCCAUCAAUAAACCUCCUCUGUCAUUUAAAAAAGCUAAGCAAUGCUGAGAUUUAUUAAACACCAAAUAUAAUCUCAUUGGCGCACAAAAUACCAUAGCCCCAUUCUGUUGCAUUAAAAACAAAGGAGAAAAUACAAAAAUAAUGAGUUUUAUGCAUUCAGAAAUCUCAUAGAUCCCAGAUAAUAACUCUGGUCUUGACUUGGCAGUACACAAAAGGUCUACCCUGUGCCACAGAAUUUCCCAAAAACUCACUGGUACUAAUAAUGCUUAAUGGCUCAGUGGAACUAGGAUUUCUCCCUAAGAAAGUUACUUUCUCCUGCUGUUAUGGUAAAGGAAGUCCAAAUCAAAUAACAUAAUUAAACUUAUGUUGUGCUUUCUAGCACAAAUGAUGCUAUAUUUUGUAGGCUUCUCCAUAAGAGGUAAGCAGCGUGGAUCUUGCCUAGUACUUGCAGGAGAGACCACCUGGGAAUCCCACAAGGUGCAGUAGGCAUAGUACGAGAAGUCACAGCAAACCGUCCGACACGCAGGAAGCCACAGCAGACAAAUAAACUGGAAAACACCGUUUGGCUGUAACACAGGACCUCAGGGGACAGGUAGGGAAAAGAUGAAGGGAGCGCAGCAGAUUUCUGCACUGCCUGGCUUCAAUUCCUAAUCCUGCACAACGGACACGCUGCACAAAAGCAGGUAUUUCUGUCAAACGCUACCUGGCAUGGUGGAGAAGGGCAAAACAGUGGGGUUGUAGGUCUGCGAUGGAGAGGAGCACAGGGCUGCAGCUCUACGAACCACAUCUCCAAGAUGUCCCAAGUCAAAAAUGCACGUUUGUGCUGUGCACGGAAGAGCGGGACAGGGAUCCUUGAGCCUUCACCUUUCCAAGACAAGAGGUCCAUGCAGCAGGAGCUGCACUCAGCGUUGGUCCCUCAGCCUGAAUUGCUGGAUCUCUGCCUCGCCUUACAAAAGCGGAGGACAGCAUCUCCUGCCUUAGCAGUAGACUCCAGUAACAGGGGACGCUGCUGUAGCUGGAAGUAGCAAUUAAACGCGAUACUGGCAGUGCUACAUAGCAGGACUUCAAGUUUAAUAGCUCAAAAGUUAGGACAGUAAAAGUAAUCAUCAUUCAGAGAAAAGCACACAUCAAAAUGCAUUUCUCUGAAAAACUAAAGCAAUUAAUCUAAAAUCACCAGGACAGAAAAAAAAUAAUUAAAUCUAUAGCACUGAGUGAAAGGAAGUAUUGUCACUACUAUCAUAGGCUCACAGAAUAAUUCAGAGUGAGGAGAACCUCAAGAGGUGUCUAGUGCGACCUCCUGCUCAAAGCAGGGUCACCUCUGAGCCCAGACCAGGUUGCUCAGGGCUUUAUCCAGCUGGGUCCUGAAAAACUCCGGGGAUGGAGACUGCACAGCCUCUUCCACUGCCUGAUGGGGAAAAAGUAUUUCCUUUCAACCAAUCUGAAUGUCUCUCAUUUCAAUUUAUGCCUGUUGUCUCUUGUUCUCCUGCCGUGCACCACUGUGAAGAGCCCAGCUCCGUCUUCUUGCUAACCUCCCCACAGGUACUGGGGGGGUGCUGUUGGGUUCUCCAAAGCUUCCCCUCUUCCAGGCUGACCAAGUCGGUUCCUUCAGCCUCUCCAACCAGCCUGGGGGCCUCUGCUGAACUCAUUCCAGUUUGUCCGUGUUGUUCUUGGCUCAGUAUCUAGAUGUGAUCUAACAAGUGCUGAGAAAUGGGGGGAUAAUCCCUCCCCUCAAUCUGCUGGCUAAUGCAGCCCAGAAAUGUUCCCAGUCACCUUCUUCUCCUUCACGUGCCCAGAUGGGUACGCCAAGAGGAGUCACUGAAUGAUUUUCUGAGGGAACAAAGUGAGGCUGACCAGCCUGCAGUUCCCUGGGUUGGCCUUUGUACCUUUUUGAAGAUGGAUGAAACACUUGCCUUUUUUCUCCAGUUGUUGGAGACCCCACAAUGAUCUCCAUGACCUUCCAAAGAUGAUAGAGAGCAGUCUGGCAAGGGCAUCAGCCUGUUCUCCCAGCAACCUUGGAGGUAGCCCAUCUGGUCCCAUAGACUUGUAUGGGUGAAGUUCUCACAAGUAAUCCCUGACCUGACUCUCAUCCACUGCUGGCGGUUCUUCCCUUUGAACCCUGGGAGACCUUGUAACCGAAGACUACAGCAAAGAAGACACUGAGAACCUCACCCUUGUCUGUGUCUGCUGUCACAAUUCACUCACCCAGGCAGCAAUGGGCCCUUGUUUUCCUUCUUCAGCGUUUUAUCAUUAAUGUAGUGCCCUUCUUGUUGCCCUUGACAUCCCUUCCAAGUCUCAAUUCCAGCUGAGCAUUGGGUUUCCUGAUAUCAUUGCCUGGGCAAUAUUUCUAAACUUCUCCUUUGUAGCCUGUCCUUCUUACACCUCCUGUAUGCUGCUGUUCUGCACUGGAGCUCUGCCAUGAGCCAAGCCAGCUCCUCUUACACCCACCCGUCUUCCAGAAUAUCAAGGUGGGCCCUGCCUGUCCUUGGAGGAUGCCGUCCUUAAAAGCUUGCCAGCUCUUCUGAGCAUCUUUCAGAGCUUCCCCAUGGCAUCCCACCUACCAAUUCCCCGAACAAGCAGCAGCCUCCUCGCCCGGAGUCCCAGGUCUGUGCUGCAGUCCUUUCUCACUCCUCACGGGGUCUUGGACCCCGCUAUUGAGCGGUCGCUACAGCCAUGGAUACCACCGACUGCCCUGUCCCCCACCAGAUCUUCUUUGUCAGUGCUGGGGAGAUUCACCCUGCUUGCUCCACCCAAUACCUCUAUCAAGACGUUCUCCCUUGUUCCAAAGUGAAACAUUAAAAAUAGGGAUUGAAAUGAUAAAAAUAUGAGCAAGGUUUACAAGCUAGCAUUCAGUAAACCAUCCUCUGUAUUUCAUGCCAUCUCUGAGUUUGAUCACAUGCCUAUUUUAUAUAUUAGUGGAAGAAAGAAAAAAGAAAACUUUUAUUUUAUGUCAAAGGAACAGACCGGAAGGAACGGAGUAGAAGAACAGACCAUUUUAAACUCUGGCUUACGGCAUGAGAUUUUCAGCUAUUGAAAGGUCAGAAAGAACCCCGAAAGAUUCAUGGAUUGUCUUCUGGAAUGUGAGAACAACCAAUUAGGUCAAAUUACAUCUCUGUCACAUAAUGCUGAAUCUAAUACUGAUCAAUAUAGGAUGCCUAGGGUUUGAAUAUUAGAAAGAGUACAAAUGAAGGAUGCUCUUGUGUGGAACACCAUCUGGUACCCCAGGACACCGUCUCAUCUUCAGCCGUCAUUGGGUUUGGACUGUUGGGCUGCAGACUGCACCUAAACCAUGCUGCUAAACAGUCCUGGUAAUCCCAUCCUUUACAAACUCAUCUAAUUUCCUUUAGAGCUCAUUUAUAACUUUGGUGACA